GUCGGGGAGAGGGAGGCUGCAGCAGCGGCGGGCGGUGGGCCCUGGCCCCGGGAGCGGAUUGGCCAGGGCCCGUGGCCCCCGGUCCGUCGCCGCAGGGUCAGAGCCCGGCUGGGUCCAGGGGCGAGUGGGGAUCCUGCCAGGAAUGGAGACUCCAUUGGAUGUUUUGUCAAGAGCAGCCUCUCUAGUACAUGCUGAUGAUGAGAAACGUAAAGCAGUUCUAAGAGCUGA